rnacentral:rRNA from 1 species
UAGGGAAUCUUCGGCAAUGGGGGCAACCCUGACCGAGCAACGCCGCGUGAGUGAAGAAGGUUUUCGGAUCGUAAAGCUCUGUUGUAAGAGAAGAACGUGUGUGAGAGUGGAAAGUUCACACAGUGACGGUAACUUACCAGAAAGGGACGGCUAACUACGUGCCAGCAGCCGCGGUAAUACGUAGGUCCCGAGCGUUGUCCGGAUUUAUUGGGCGUAAAGCGAGCGCAGGCGGUUUAAUAAGUCUGAAGUUAAAGGCAGUGGCUUAACCAUUGUUCGCUUUGGAAACUGUUAAACUUGAGUGCAGAAGGGGAGAGUGGAAUUCCAUGUGUAGCGGUGAAAUGCGUAGAUAUAUGGAGGAACACCGGUGGCGAAAGCGGCUCUCUGGUCUGUAACUGACGCUGAGGCUCGAAUGCGUGGGGAGCAAACAGG